GUGUCAAUGGAAGAGUAGGAGGGAUAAGCUGCUGAUUAUCAGAUGCCGUUGUUGUUGCCAUCAGCUAACAAUUGUUUGGAUUUCCUCCUCUUUAGAGAGCAGCUCUGAGGGGGUCUUGGAUGGGAUGCAAAAAUGAAAUAGAAGACCUUGGAGCACCUUUCUUUUUUCCUCUUUAAGAUGAGAGAAGAUUCAGUAGGGAAUUAAAAGCAGAGUUGUCUACUUCAUCUCUAAAUUUUUGGCAAUCUUCAGAAUACACUAAGAUAAGCCUAUUGGAUGAACACCAGUACAACAACAAAGGAAACCACUUCAGCUAUGUGAAAUGUGAGCAAAGAUAUGGGCAAGUUUAUCUUCUAAAAAAAAAUUCUACUAUAGCAGUACCUGGAGAGGUUUGUGUUGUUGUUUUGGUUCAUUUUAAAUCAUUAUCAGAUCCUGGAGAGGUUAAGCACCAUACAUAAAGGGUUUCAGUUGAAGCUGUUUGCUUCCUUGGGAUGAAGAACUCAGUUUGCACAGCAGAGAGGGUAAUUCUGUACGUACAGCCUCCCAAGCAAAAGGGAGGCCCGGAAUGAAGCUCUGGAGACUGCCACAAAAGGAACAGAUCAAUACUCAGUGAAGGUUCCUGCCACUGAGAGAUGACAGCACAUAGAUCAGCAACGGAAAACCAUAAAAGGAGAGAGAAGCGUCAUGAAAGACCCCACAGGAAAGACAUUGAAGCAGAAAGUGCAACUUCAAAGAAAGAAUUUCUAUUCAGUGUACAGGCUUUAAUAUUGCAAAAGGUUAAUCAGACAGUAAUAAGGGAAAAAAACUCAACUUUUUGACCUGUGAAGAGCGUUAAGUCAAGAAGCAUCAGGUUAGGUGUUUGUCAUGAGUACACCACAACACAACGGACACUUUCGCACUAUCCUCUGUGAUAAAGAAGGUCCAUAAGGAAAGGGAAUUCAAUCAACAAGCCAUCAGAAAGUUCCUCAUAAACCUUUCUGGAUGUCUCCACCUCUCAAUCUAUCCCAGUAAGUUACUUAGUUUCUUUGAAUCUACACAAGCACUUGAAAAUGCAUAGUAACUCAAGAAAAGGAAACUCUACCACAAAGGUAAGGGGCUUCCACAGAGCAAGGCCCACUAGAGCCAGGGGUUAGCAGCUGCAGUGAGUAUGGACAGAUGGGUUUUGUCAAACGCUUAGAAAUAUCCACCUGAUCAACACAAUAGGCAGCAGCUCACAGGUUUCUAGAACAAAGCUCGUCUCAACUGCUGAGAGGACAUCAGUGAAGGCACAAUAAACACCCAUUUACUGGUAUUGUAUAUAGAGCAACAACUAAGGCAAAGCACUAAAACAUAACUUGCAAAGUAAUCAGCCAAGAUUAAAAAAUGUUAGCACCUCAGUUUUAUCAGGAUUAUAAAUGAUAAAUCAUAUCUUAGAUCCCUGACAAGCAAAACCAAACACUUGCAGACAAGCAUGGCACUACUUUUUGCUGGCAAUGGAAGCUCAAAUUACACAUUAAAAAUUUUAUUCUUUUAAAUUGGAAAAUACAGGGGAGUAACAAUGAGCUAUUUUGAAACCUUUCUUCCUAGGAGACACUGAGACAAAGAGCAACUCCAAGUAUCAGGGAUACUGAAAUAAAACACAAGGACUUUGUGUUGAUACAUUAACUCCUCUGUUUCACGCAGCUUUAAGAAACAAAUUCCCUAAAAAAAUUAAAUAUAUAAGUUAUGCCUGGCAGCAUCAGCAUUCAGCAGUUCACGUGAAAAUUUUCCAGAAAGCAAAUCUAAUGAGACACCUCAAUAUCUCUGGGCAAUCAAAAUGCUUUUAUGCUGAACCUGAACUCCAAGUGAAUUCCAACUCCGGUUCCUACCCUUGGACAUCAUUCACAUGACUACUCCUCGCAUACCACUCAAUAAUCUUUGAAAUUCUGAUUUUAAACUCAGUCAUAAAAUAGAACAAAUGCUUCUGCCAUGUGGGUGUACUCAAGAUGUUUCAUGGAGCUGGAACAAUAGAACUCCCUGAGACUCUUUGACAGUCACCUCUUCUCAGAGUGCACGUCUCAGUGCCUCACCAAUGACUGAUUUCUAUAUUCAGCCUUAGGAAAGGAGCUCAAUUUCACAUUCGAGAGCCUGAUCCAUUAUUUUUAAGACUUUAUCAAAGGCAACGCAACCUAAGAAAAAAUUGUAUUAUGAACAGAAGUUUUGGCAAGACAAAGACGACACUUCAUGCAGCAGUUAAUAUAAAGAGAGGAUAACACUUCUGCCAAAGACAAUAAAUACUAGAAGAAAUGUCUUUCAGUUUUAGAGGCCCUGAGCAAUAUUGCUGGUGUUCAUUUUAAGAUCUGCUUCUACAACACAAUUCCCUGGGGACUGUUCUUAAAUGUAAAAAGGAUGGAUGUUUUUGUUUUGGGCUCAUUCACAAUGCUGGCAUUACAAACCACAGCCUUGAGCUGAGGUGAGAGUUAACAUCACUUUGCCACUAAUUUCUUUCAACUGUAUCCUUCUCUUUCUUGAUCUCUCUUCCCCACCACUAAAAAAUUCUCCAGGCGUUACUAUCGAAAAUAUGCUCAAGUAAUAAAUCAUGUAUUUGCUCUCA